UACAUGGGGUGCAAACGUUGCUCGGAAUCAUUGGGCGUAAAGCGCGCGUAGGCGGUUACUUAAGUUGGAUGUGAAAGCCCUCGGCUUAACCGAGGAAGUGCAUCCAAAACUGAGUAGCUAGAGUACGAAAGAGGGUCGCGGAAUUCCCGGUGUAGAGGUGAAAUUCGUAGAUAUCGGGAGGAACACCGGUGGCGAAAGCGGCGCCGGCUG
rnacentral:rRNA from 1 species